GUUGCAAUCUGUGUAAGUUCAUAUUAUCCGUGCGUUGAUUAAUUCUGUAAAUAUUAUUAAUAUUGAUGCACAUGUUAUGUUCAUAUGUAAAUACGUGGGUUGAUUAUUUAUGUACAUAUUUUUAAUAUGGAUGCACAUGAUCUGUAAAUAUUAUCAAUACCAGUUAAUCGAUUUUCAAUUACAGAGUGGUUUUAACACGUAGUUUUAUAAUAUGUAGUUUUAUUCUUAAAAUCAUUUACUCGUUUAUUAAUAAAAGUAUUUACUCUUUACUGUAUAUUUAUCACAUGUAGUUUUAUAACAUGUAGUUUUAACAUGUAGUUUUAUUUUGAAAAUUGUUUACUCGUUUAUUAUAUUUUUGCAGUUACAUGGAUUUCAUUGUCACCCUUAUGUUGAAGUUUCGAGUGAUUGUUGCAAUAAAUUGAUGGUCCGGUCGCAUGAAUUUUGAUUCGCUUAUAAAGUAUGUUUGGUCGAAGUGGGACGCGAUCAAAGGAUGUAAUUUCUCGUUAACGUAUAAGUAGACUCGUUUUGGGACUAAUAAUGCAAUUUUCGAAUUUGACUUCAUUUGCCACAAAGUCCUAAUUUUUUCAAGAAAAAUAUAUUGAUAGCGUUCUUACGCUGCAUUUAUUAUGUGUCCGUACACACGUCAUUUCAUAUGUAAGCACACAAUUUCGUUGCAAUUUGAAUUUCUAAUGUAAAACAGUACAUGUAUUUUGGAACAUAAUGUAAAACACAAUAAGGACCCGAAAGUAGUGGUUUUUACUUACUAGAUACUAUAAUAUAAAGCAUUAUGCUGUGA
rnacentral:lncRNA from 1 species